rnacentral:rRNA from 1 species
ACGGGUGAGUAAUGCCUAGGAAAUUGCCUUGAUGUGGGGGAUAACCAUUGGAAACGAUGGCUAAUACCGCAUAAUGCCUACGGGCCAAAGAGGGGGACCUUCGGGCCUCUCGCGUCAAGAUAUGCCUAGGUGGGAUUAGCUAGUUGGUGAGGUAAUGGCUCACCAAGGCGACGAUCCCUAGCUGGUCUGAGAGGAUGAUCAGCCACACUGGAACUGAGACACGGUCCAGACUCCUACGGGAGGCAGCAGUGGGGAAUAUUGCACAAUGGGCGAAAGCCUGAUGCAGCCAUGCCGCGUGUAUGAAGAAGGCCUUCGGGUUGUAAAGUACUUUCAGUUGUGAGGAAGGGGGUGGCGUUAAUAGCGGUAUCUCUUGACGUUAGCAACAGAAGAAGCACCGGCUAACUCCGUGCCAGCAGCCGCGGUAAUACGGAGGGUGCGAGCGUUAAUCGGAAUUACUGGGCGUAAAGCGCAUGCAGGUGGUUCAUUAAGUCAGAUGUGAA